AAAAAAAAAAAAAAAAAAAGGGCCCACAGUAAUUGGCAUAUGCUGUUGUGGUGACCCUGCCCUAGUUGGCAAAGCUAAAUAAAUAAAUAAAAAAAUAAAUACUGUUACAUACGAUACCACACCAAACUUUUUGUUACCAACAACCAUCUCCACACUCUGUAUAGUAUGGUACCUUUCUGUAGAUGCCCCCCCCCCCCCGCGGACAAAUUCUUUAAAAAGGCCCUGACGUAUGCCCACCCGCUGUCUUUUUAUUGUACUCAGGACACAGUACAUUCACUGUAGUGCAUUCACACUGUAUGAGAGACUCUAAAGACUGUAAAGAUCAAAUGCGCUUACAUCAAGUAUCAUACGCUUAUAAUACCUAAUUACAUACUCAGCCUGGACUAUUUUAUCUUCACAACAAUUGCGAUAUUACUUUCUAUUCUUGACUUAUGUAUAUCAUGCAUAAAUCAUACAAUCCAUGGGCUAUGAUUAUACGCAUUCGCGGAUUCCUCUGCCCAGCAAAGGAAGACAAACUUUGCCAAUUUCUCGUCCAAACACCAAAAUUUCAUUAAUUUCUCCUUGACCUUGUGCAAUGUCCGUCUCUAAUCCAAGAAAACAUGACAGACAGACAAACACACACACACAGACAUGUCAUUGGAUGAAGAACAUAUACCCAAAAUUUUCAUGGAUUCAUCAAAACGUUUUUAGAUAAAAUGAUUUCUCCACCUCUUAAAGUUCAAACGCCUACGGUUUCAAAAUUACUUAUUCCGAUUCUUAUACCAUAUAAACUCUGGCCAUCUCCACACAUCAACACCAUGGAUAUAAUCUCUUAGCAGAUCGUAUAUAUAUUGCGUGACUCGAGCAGUUAUUGAAUUAAUUCGUAUUUGCGUAAAUCCGGUCACGAUUCGCUUGCCCGCACAUCGCAUGAUUUGGCGUAAUUCAAUACUUUGCACGUUCGAAGACAACUUUCUGUAAUCAAAGCGAAUCAAAGCAAAUAUAUUUCCUCCUAUAACAGGUCUGACAAAAAGAAAGGAGUCCAGCUUGCCAAGAAUUGAGAGUCGAUUCAGAUUGUCGCUGCUGACUCACUGACUGUCACACUAUAUUAACAGGUAUGUUUUUAAUGGUUUAAGUUAUGUUAGUAUCAUAGCCAUGGCUCAAUUCAUUCGUGCGAACCUCAAUAUUACAAUAAGUUAGCGCUGUAAAUUAAAUUCCAUUGUUUUUAUUCUUUAAUUUUUCUUCACCCGUACUCGAAUUCAUGCAAUAAAAGUUGUCCUGGGCAAAUAAAGCUGAAUUUAUUUUAAACAGCGCCAUGUAUAAACUCGUCAGUCAUCAUAGUCAUAGAUCACACUAUUAUUUAUUUCGAAGAAUAAUUCGUCGAAGAUUUCAAAAUUGAAUCCUUCGAUUUCGUUCGUGAAAUAAAUCCGCUUGUAUAUAUCCAAGACAAAGUAAACUGUAUAAAUUUUGAGCAAUUAAAGUAAAGUCAUACCGGUAUUAAAGUAUACGAAGCGGGGUGCCGUUAUACAUCGAUUGCUUUAAAAUAUAUAGCAUGCAUAGGGGCGUUGAAUUCCCUUAUUUGUUUGUAUAAUAUCAAGAUAAUGCAGAGGAAACGUGAAUGAUACUGUAUUGAUUAGGGGCAUUGUAAAAUAACACAUUGAAUAGCAAAGUCGUCGUUUAAACGUUUGUCGACACAGGUGUUGAGGUCAUUUGCAUGUUACUGUUAUAACUUAUAUACACUGUCAUGGAGUGAGACUGUGAGUGUUCGAUAUUUGCCAUGUCCAUGGCUCCAUGCACAACUGUAAAUUCGCGUUCAAAAUGUAUCGGUGUAUUUAUAUAUAUAUAGACAGUUGAAGAUUUGUAAUCCAGGCAUUUUAUUAAUUGAAUCAUUUUACAAAUUAUGUUGAUUGUUGUUCUCUGUAUUGUAUUAAUAUAAAUGUUUUGAGCUUUCGACUCGGUACUUCGAGCCUUCAUCAUGCAGAAAGGAAAGCUUUGUAUAUCACUGAUUUAAAUGGUUCUCAUGGGAGAGAGUUAAAUAAUAACAUUGCCUUGCUAUAUAGGCUAUAGCCUAUAGGAUAUAUUUGAUUUCCCAAACUCAGUAUUAACGCCGAAACCUUUCCUGAAGUCUAUAUAACUCUGAAUUAUGCACGCGCAGAUAUAUAUAUAUAUAUAUAUAUAUAUAUAAUAUAUAUAUAUAUCUAUAUAUAUAUAUAUAUAUAUAUAUAUAUAUAUAUAUAUGUCGCCUUGUUUGACUAGUAUAUUAUUAUAUAGGCCCAUCAUCAAAAUGCUAUUAUUCUCUUCCCCUAAUUGAAGACGUAUGUUUUAUUUUGGCAUGGAUAUAUAUAUAUAUAUAUAUGUCGCCUUGUUUGACUAGUAUAUUAUUAUAUAGGCCCAUCAUCAAAAUGCUAUUAUUCUCUUCCCCUAAUUGAAGACGUAUGUUUUAUUUUGGCAUGGACAAAUUCGUGGAUAUGUCUGGAUUCUAUGUGUUAACUACACGUGCAGGACUAAUGUCAGUCUGUCUGGAAUUUAUCAUAUUGAUUUAUAUUGAUCACAAAUAGACAUAUAGUGUUAAUGACGUUGGUAAACCAUAUAGUAAAACAAAGGCAAUAAUCGACUAUUGUUCUUAGGCUCAAUAACAAAGUAAUUUUCAACCCUACUAAGCACAAAACAUGAGUAAGUAUUUGACAUGAAAACGAGGCCAUUCGGGGAAAGAGAAUAAUCGUAUUGCGUUCUUGCUAUCAUUCUAGAGUGAACCGAUUUGGUAACCGGCUUGUCUCCGUGUUAAACGUAACCAGUUACUAUAUACAGCAAAUUUCCUCGCCACGUAUACGCGCGUGACACAUUAAUAUUGAAUGCAUGUAUAUCUUCAUUUUCUCGAUGCCUGCUAGUACACCAGUAAUACAGUAUAUAGAUGCAAAAAGCGAAUGGCAUAUAUACUCAUGUAGCUGCAGGGCUCGAAAUAGCGGGCUGCCAAUGGCCAAAAGCAGGCCAUAUUUUACAAAUGGCAGGCAAAAACAAAUUUGAACUGCCAAGUAAAAAAAAAUGGCAGGUGAAAUUCUAUAUAGAUAUAUAUUUCAUUUCAUUUACUUACCACAACUCAUAUAUACUAUAGAUCAUUUAUUUGACUAAAUAUGUUUGUAUGAAAAAUAAUAAAAAUUGCAUAUCAUGAAAACAUUGAUUUUUACAAUAUGACUCGUAUGAAACAUCGCCAUUUUGGCAGUUCAAUGAAUAAAAAUGGUAGGCUAAAAUUUAUUUCACCUGCCAAAAAAUUUUAGACUGGCAGGCCAUAUUUUUUCUCUAUUUCGAGCCCUGUCAUGUAGGGUAUACAGCUCAAUGUCGAAUCUAUGCUGUUAAAACUAUCAAUAAUGUAAACAUAACUUAAACAUUAACAUGAACCGGAAUAAACAGUCAAUAAGAAACAAAUUCGUCCAGGAAAACAUGGGAAUAUAUAAUCUUUAUAGGCCAUUGCCAUUGGAUAAAAGAGAAUAAUCGGUAAGGUCUAUUCUUAUACUGCCCACUAGCUGCAACGUGCUGCAUCCCACAUUCAAGCUUUUAGAGUGUGUUUAUAAUGUAAUGGGAACACAUUAUAUCUCCAGGAUAUUUAUAUAGAGCUAAAAGGUAUUUUGGCUUCCGAAACGUAUAAUCUAACGGCAGAUAGAAUGUUCGAUAAUGAUAUGUUUCGGAAUUGCGGUUCAUAAGUGACCGUAUUUAAUACGCGUAUAUAAGGCGUAAUCAGAAUUCACAACAAAUAAUGUGAAACGAAAACACCUUUAUAUCCAAUAUAUAUACAUGAGAUAAUCGCGAAGAAUAAUCUUGCAAAAAAUUGGAGAAAAAAAACAAGAUGUGGAUAUAAAUAAUAUAGACAUAAUUCAUAAAUUAUUUUCAAGAUUACUUUUCGAUCCUAUGUGACAUAAUCAUCAGACAUUAUAGGCUCAACAUUUUUAUCCAACAUUGGCAACAAGCAUUGUUUGGACCAUGCAGGUAUAUUACUAUUAGACUUUCUGCAUAAAUUUAUUGUGCACAAAGACAAGACUAUUAUCACAUGCAGUAUAUAUUGAAUUGAUUGAGACAGUAGACGCUCAUGUAGAAGACAAUUGAUGCAUGGUAAUAGAGAAGUGGAAUUAUUAUGUGGACAAAUUUGCGUCGGAUCAAGAGACCCGGCAAGAGGUCAAAGGAGCUUUAUAUCCAAUAUAUAUACAUGAGAUAAUCGCGAAGAAUAAUCUUGCAAAAAUUUGGAGUAAAAAAAAAGAUCUGCAUCAUGCAUGGAUAUAAAUAAUAGACGUGUAAAUUAUUUUCAUGAUUACUUUUCGAUGACAUAAUCAUCAGACAUUAGUAUCAAAAUUUUAUCCAACAUUGGCAACAAGCAUUGUUUGUACGAGGUAUAUUAUACUUUGUGGUAUAAUUCCGCAUAUAUAUAUGGAAAUACGUGACCGACGAAGGGGCUUCGCUCGAAACGUCACUAUACUCACUAGCAAUUUUGUCGGCGAUUUUGUGUUUCAGACGUAUGCGAUGAGUGAACUCUGACACAAAAGUAUAGAGGCUUUAGAAGUAAACAAUUCUAAGACUAUAACGCCUACAUGUAUACUAAAAGCACACUCAAAGAGUGGAGGUUCAAUCUGAGCUUCCCUUGAGUGUCAAUGCUGUUUUUUGAAUAGCUGGAGGGUGAGUAGUCACAGUAAGUAGGGUGAGUAGUCAUAGUAAGGUACGACACUAACCCUCCAGCUAUUCAAAAACAGCACUGACACCGUCAAGGGAAGCUCAGAUUGAACCUCCAGUCUUUCAGUGUGAGCGUGAGUGAGCUUUUAGAAUACAGCGUCAGAGUUUCUUAUUUUCUUUUAAUUAACUUGUGGUAUACAUAUUUUUUAUCUAUAGGCGUAUUUUAGUUUUGAAUAUUUUGUAAUUGUACAUAUAGGACCCUGUAGUUGAUAACAGUGAAGAUCACUGAUUAGGCUUUCUUUUUAAAUAUUACAUAAUAGCAAUAAUAAUGACUUCAUCAGAAUAUUGAAAACAAAAACAUAUUGUUAUUCUGGCAAAUUUUCAAAAAUUUCAACCAUGCACAAAAUUUCCGCACUUUUGAAAGUGCAAAAGCCGCGUAAAGAGGAGUGAUUUCCUACAGGAAUGAUUUGCCUUCGGACGAAAGAGUUUCCAAAGAGGAUGUAUAUGGUUGAAUAUAUUAUUUGUCUUUAGCCUACUGUUUCACUUGAAUGUGCGUGGGGGGCAAGCUUUAAGCCUGGUUUAAAGUUUCUGCAUGUGAUCACAGUAGGAAUUUUGCAUGGGUAAAUUCUAAGUUUUGAAGGGUUUGUAAGAAAUGUUUGAGGGAACUGACUCUAGACAAUUCAAAUAACGUGAAAAGCGACUUUUACCCAAACUUACCAUUAUAUAUAUACAAACAACUACAAUACUAAAAAAUUGGAUUUCCUGAGUAGCCCAAAAAUCGCGGAAAAAUCGACCGUGAGAAAGGAUAAUGCAUGGUCUGACGUCAGUUUCGUUUACAAAUCUUUGUUGACAUAACGUAAUUAUCCGAUUACGCGUAUAUUGCAUGGAAAAUGAAAUUUAAACUGCAUAUAUAUACGUGUUUAGACAUAUACUACAGAAUUGUUUUAAAGUUCUUCAUUGUCUAGCUGUUGAGUGAUGUCUUUACCUCAAAACAACCACAACAAUCUGUUUCAUCCGUAUAGGAAUCAUCAGGUGGUGAGUAAUUUCGAAAAUAUAGGUUGCUUUUAUGCUUUCGAAACCUACACGCAUUCCGCGUGGAUUUGUUUCGCCUACACGCAUUCCGCGUGGAUUUGUUUCGCCUACACGCAUUCCGCGUGCAUUUGUCUCGCCUACACGCAUUCCGCGUGCAUUUGUCUCGCCUACACGCAUUCCGCGCAUUUCAUUUUCGAUAGCAUAAAAGCAACCUAUAUGAUGAUCCACCUGAUGAUUCCUAUACGGAUGAAACAGACUGUUGUGGUUGUUUUGCAUUUGUCUCGCCUACACGCAUUCCGCGAAUUCAUUUUCGAUAGCAUAAAAGCAACCUAUAUGAUGAUCCACCUGAUGAUUCCUAUACGGAUGAAACAGACUGUUGUGGUUGUUUUGAGGUAAAACGAAAACUAUUAUGUACAUAUAUACAUGCAAGCUUAACAUAAUCUAGACAUAGCCCCAAGUGGUUUCAUUUUGAUAGAGUGCAUGUAUCCAGUCUCUGAGUCUGUAAUUUUUUUAAAAAAUUUUUUGUCUGUGAUUUCCUAUAUUUUUUUCCUGCCAGAGGGUAUAUAUACGACCAUACAAAACAUACACCAUAUAAAAUCAUCACAAAUAAACGUUUUCAAAAAAUUGAGCAACACUUAAUAAAAAAAAAUGGUUGAAGGUAUAGACAGGACAUGAGUUCCAUGUGAAGACCAACCUGGGAGAAAAAUCCUAUAAAGACUAUAGACAUAUAUUAAACAAGGUCUAUAUAUGGACAGAUUAAGAGCAACAGCUCAAGCUGAAAAUUCCGCAUUCAGUCUUUAGAGCAGUAGGUUUCUGUUUACAUCAAAAGAAGAAUCUAAUUGAGAAGAGUAGUUAAUAUGGAGCUUAAAGGGGGGAAACAGACCAGCUAUUACGAAUGAUCGGAGAGAGAUUUUUCCAUAUAGUAAUUCGGUUGAAAAAAGAGUUUCUAAAAAGAGACUCUGAACUGUCCGUGUAGACAGUGCCAAUAAAUUACAAUGAUAUACGAAAGCUUCGAAGUAGUAUAUAGGGAUGCAAUGCACCUAUUACCUAUUAAUGAACAAAAUUUUGAUCUAGACAAAUCUAGACAAAAAUUUCAUCACAGCUUGAAAGAGCAUGAUCACAAAAUUAGUAAUAUUCCGAAGUUUCGUUGCGAAAUAUUUUAAAAUGCGGAUAAUAUAGCCCUGCGAAGUUUGCCGUUUUUCAGUCAUUUUGUAUUACGCACGGGAAAUUGAUACCUUUUUUGAGAAAGCGGUAUCAAUUUCCCGUGCGUGUAAUACAAAAUGACUGAAAAACGGCAAACUUCGCAGGGCUAUAUUCGCAUUUUACAACAUUUCGCAACGAAACUUCGAAAUAUUACUAAUUUUGUGAUGCUCUUUCAAGCUGUGGUGAAAUUUUUGUCUAGAUCAAAAUUUUGUUUAUUACUAGCCGGCGUAGCAGGCGCUAUUUAGGGGGGGAGGGCGAAAAAUGGAAGGGGCGAGAAAGAAAUAGCUAUUUCUUUCUCGCCCCUUCCAUUUUUCCUCGCUCUCGCCUUCGCAUUCCCCCCUAGCUUUUCCCAUCCCCCCUAGCUUUUCCCAUCCUCGCCCUCCCCCCUAAAUAGCGCCUGCUACGCAGGCUAGUUUAUUACGAUCUAUUACAACGAGAACUUCAAUGCGCGGAUUGUCUUGAAGCAAGUUGACCUUGCUUGAAGCAGGUUGACCUUGCUUGAACGGUUGCCAGACGAGGGAUUUUGAAAAAAAGGUGACAAAGAGGAGAUCUGUACGUUCCUAGAGGCCUUGUUUGCAUUUGAAGAAAAAAAUGAGAUCUCAUAAUUGAGACCUUCUGGAUAAAUCUAUUAUUGUAUUAGGAGGGUCCUGAAGGGGGGGGGGGUCGUAUUCCCAUUUCCCAGCCCAAAUUUUGACUAAAUCCCAUUGUCCCAGAGCACAAAUCCCAUCAUCUUGGUGGCUGUCCUGCUCAAAUCUUAAUCCCAUUCCCAUUUUCUAUUGGGUUUUUUUGCUGAUGAAUCCCAGUCCCAGGCCAGUGCAUGAAAUCCCAUUUUCCCACCCAAAAAUAAGCAAAUCCCAGUUCCAAUUUUACCCCAUUCAGGACCCUCUAUUAGUAUAUACUGAAGCCAAAGGGUAGAAAGUCUUUACUCACGUACAAGGAAAACAAAUUGAAACAAAGACAAAGUACCAAAAGACGAACCAAAAAUUACUGGAUAUAGAUAACACCUAUAUAAACACUACCCUAUAUUAUAUAAACAUGUCUAAUUGUAUGAUCGUAGUUGAUCAAAUGUUGCUAAUAUGUCAUGACAGUAUAUGGAAGAAAUUCUUAAAAUAUUUUUAUCUCGCAUGGCAAUAGCAUAAUGAAAUAGCUAGGUUUUGUAAGUUCAUUAACAUAAAUGAUUUAUUAAUUUUAUACAAGCUCUUGUUAGAAGUUAUCUCGCAUGGCAAUAGCAUAAUGAAAUAGCUAGGUUUUGUAAGUUCAUUAACAUAAAUGAUUUAUUAAUUUUAUACAAGCUCUUGUUGAAAUUAUUCAUUAUAGGAACAUUGCAUUUCUGUAUGACAAUAGGUAUAAUGUUGUUCAUUAUAUACCAACUUCAUCAGAUCAGAAUGUGAGAUUAUAUUAUAGAUGAAAAUUAUUUUGGAUUUCGGCAUAAAAACAAGUUCCGCAUGCAUAGAUAUAAGUGCAUGCCAAUUUAUAUGUGCAUUUAAAAUGAAAACAAUAUUAAGUCCUAUUUUAUGAGUAAGCUUUAUUGCCGGAUGGGUUUGGAAAAUAAAACUUAUGUUGACGCAGACAAGAUUUCCAGAAAAAAACACUUCUUGCAUGUUUAAGAACAAAAGCUGUUGUGAUGAUUGUUUUAAAGAUGGGAACUUUGAACUUUGGAUGUUACAUCGCUUCUUUUAAUGGACUAGCAAAAAGAAUAGCUUAUGUUUGAAAAGGUUUUUGAGAUACAUGAUAUUUUUGCUAUCUCCAUGGGAAAUUUUGUUAACCAUUAAUUGACAACUUUGGAUGUUACAUCGCUUCUUUUAAUGGACUAGCAAAAAGAAUAGCUUAUGUUUGAAAAGGUUUUUGAGAUACAUGAUAUUUUUGCUAUCUCCAUGGGAAAUUGCUAUCUCUAUGGGAAAUUUUCGAUUCCAUGACGUCUAUUUAACCCACGGCACAGGCCAAGCAAGUGUUAAAACAUUUGUUUUUAAAAGGCAAUUUGUUUUUGCGCAACAAGAUACCAAAUAGAUUUUGCCGACAAUUCUUGUAUGCUAAUAUACGCCAUGGACAAUUAAACACUUGAACGCGUUUCCCAACAAAAGGUUAGCAGUCUCGUAUUUUCAUAUAAUCGAGUGACGUUCAUUAUGUGGGCAUGACUGGCGUUGGAAUGACUUGUGUAAAAAUAUUGUUUUCAUAAUUUUGUUAUGUUGUUAUAUAAGUAUUGACCAUGAGGGGGGGAAUUGGGGGGUCUAUGUAUAGUAUGCAUCAGUUGGCCAUGAUAUGCAUAUCAGAUACUAUGCGUAGCGAGACAGCUGGCGUAGUUUGUCUCUUAAUAGCGUGUACUUGAGAACCAGUGGACAUAUUCUAUUUCAAGCUGCUGUAGUUUUUAUGAACUCUAUACCUGCAAAUAAAAUAUAUCUCAAAAGUGAUGAUCCAAGCUUGACUCUCCAUUGGUAGGUAAUAUUCUACAAUAAACUCCCUGUUAAUUCCAGGGAGUUAAUUUAACUCCGGUGGAAUUAUUUUGAACCUCGUUCAACUCCAAAUGGGGAAUAAAAUUAGGAUAAAAAAACUUCAUCCGAUUAGUUAAAUGAACUUCUUGAAAGUAGCUGCCGUGGUUUGCGUCAGAACUGCUUUAAAAAGAUUUCUCAAGCGUCAUGGUCUCAAUAAUCUAAUGUGGACAGUAUUGUACAACAUUAAGCUGGCGCGCUUGUGACUGGACUUGUUGAGGAAGAUUAUAUUUAUACGCACACUGAGUGAAUUAUUCGUCGCAGGGUCCGUAUAUACCUGAUCCAAUAUACUAGAGAGGUUUGAAUACGAGUACCAGAUUCGUUGCUUGCACAUGUCCGUAUAAUCUUCUUACGCCAUUAAUGCACAUGCCAUGAUCUCGUGGUGGACGCUUGUAUUCUCUACAACGAGACAUUUCCCGUUGUCAAGUUGCCACGGCUGCAUACGAGAUUUAUAAAUUAAGCAUCCCGUACAUGAUGGCGUAAGAAUAUGGCGAAGAUUCCAAAUAACGAAUCUUGCUGUCACAGGGUAGAGUGUUAUUCAGGGCCGGUUGUUCAAAGGUGGUUUAGCGCUAGCCCUGGGUUAAAAUUUAACCUGCUGUUUUAGUUUGUGUAUUUCUGCACGUCUGUUUAUUUCAAAACUUCAGAAAAGUAAACUCCUAUCGAUCCAGACAAGAUCUCUGAAGAAAUAUUUCCAAAUUUAUAGACAAGCUGUCAGGAAGUUUGCUUUGAAUUUUAGCUUAACCCAGGGUUAAGCUAACCCAGCUUUGAACAACCGACCCCAGAGCUCAGAGGUAAUGAUUUAUGAUUCGCCUUCAAUAUGCACCGCUCGCCUUGUUCCUAGCCAGUGACGAGAGCCAUUCGCCCACCAUUUUGAAUAUUUUCAGGGGGGGGGGGCGAAUGCCUCUCGCAAGCGCACUGGCUAGACAAAAAUGGCAAAAUCAAGAAGUUCUGCAAGUGUUUUUUACGACACAGAAUCUCUUGACGAACGAUGCAAAAUGCAAGUUUUAGUACAUUUUUUAAAUAAUAACAAACUUUUUUCCUUAGUCACCGACGGAUUCAAUAUUUUGGAACUGACUUGUGAUCUGUGCCAGAAAGUUAAGGAGACGCGUUAGGGUAGGUUUUGUCACUUUAAACUAUUAUUAUUAUUUAAAAUUAUUUGAAAACGGUAGCCCGUCAGCGGUAAAGAAAAACUGACUUUCAAGGGGCCGUUCAUGAA